GGUAACUCGGUGCCGGCGGCGGGGUUAAUAAGGUGGUUGGGAUCUGUAAUUGGGGUUAGUGGGCGUAAAGCGUGCGUAGGCGGGUUUUUAAGUCGGAUGUGAAAUCCCCGAGCUUAACUUGGGAAUUGCAUUCGAUACUGGGAAGCUAGAGUAUGGGAGAGGAUGGUAGAAUUCCAGGUGUAGCGGUGAAAUGCGUAGAGAUCUGGAGGAAUACCGAUGGCGAAGGCAGCCAUCUGGCCUAAUACUGACGCUGAGGUACGAAAGCAUGGGGAGCAAACAGGAUUAGAUACCCCAGUAGUC
rnacentral:rRNA from 1 species